rnacentral:rRNA from 1 species
GACGAACGCUGGCGGCGUGCUUAACACAUGCAAGUCGAACGGAAAGGCCCUGCUUGCAGGGUACUCGAGUGGCGAACGGGUGAGUAACACGUGGGUGAUCUGCCCUGCACUUCGGGAUAAGCCUGGGAAACUGGGUCUAAUACCGGAUAGGAGCCAUUUUUAGUGUGAUGGUUGGAAAGUUUUUUCGGUGUAGGAUGAGCUCGCGGCCUAUCAGCUUGUUGGUGGGGUAAUGGCCUACCAAGGCGGCGACGGGUAGCCGGCCUGAGAGGGUGGACGGCCACAUUGGGACUGAGAUACGGCCCAGACUCCUACGGGAGGCAGCAGUGGGGAAUAUUGCACAAUGGGCGCAAGCCUGAUGCAGCGACGCCGCGUGGGGGAUGACGGCCUUCGGGUUGUAAACUCCUUUCGCUAGGGACGAAGCUUUUUGUGACGGUACCUAGAUAAGAAGCACCGGCGAACUACGU